rnacentral:rRNA from 1 species
UGGGGAAUUUUGGACAAUGGGGGCAACCCUGAUCCAGCAAUGCCGCGUGUGUGAAGAAGGCCUUCGGGUUGUAAAGCACUUUUGUCCGGAAAGAAAACGUCGUGGUUAAUACCCGUGGCGGCUGACGGUACCGGAAGAAUAAGCACCGGCUAACUACGUGCCAGCAGCCGCGGUAAUACGUAGGGUGCAAGCGUUAAUCGGAAUUACUGGGCGUAAAGCGUGCGCAGGCGGUCCGCUAAGACAGAUGUGAAAUCCCCGGGCUUAACCUGGGAACUGCAUUUGUGACUGGCGGGCUAGAGUAUGGCAGAGGGGGGUAGAAUUCCACGUGUAGCAGUGAAAUGCGUAGAGAUGUGGAGGAAUACCGAUGGCGAAGGCAGCCCCCUUGGGCCAAUACUGACGCUCAUGCACGAAAGCGUGGGGAGCAAACAGGAUUAGAUACCCUGGUAGUCCACGCCCUAAACGAUGUCAACUAGUUGUCGGGUCUUCAUUGACUUGGUAACGUAGCUAA